rnacentral:rRNA from 1 species
AUACGGAGGGAGCGAGCGUUAAUCGGAAUUACUGGGCGUAAAGCGCGCGUAGGCGGCUUUGUAAGUCGGAUGUGAAAGCCCAGGGCUCAACCCUGGAAUUGCAUUCGAUACUGCAUGGCUAGAGUAUGGUAGAGGGAAGUGGAAUUUCCGGUGUAGCGGUGAAAUGCGUAGAUAUCGGAAGGAACACCAGUGGCGAAGGCGACUUCCUGGGCCAAUACUGACGCUGAGGUGCGAAAGCGUGGGGAGCAAACAGGAUUAGAAACCCCAGUAGUCC